rnacentral:ncRNA from 1 species
AAUUCUUUGCCGCCGGGUAAAGGGUUGUGCGUCAGACUUCCUAUCAGUAGGCCAUUGAAGAUAGGAGGGCUGGCGUUUUUUGUUG